ensembl:snoRNA small nucleolar RNA Z17
GGUGCAAAUGAUGACCAUGAUAGCGAUCAAAGCAUGAUAAAAUGAUUCAGGCAUUUCCCUUUGAUGCACC